GACGAACGCUGGCGGCGUGCUUAACACAUGCAAGUCGAACGGUAAGGCCCUUCGGGGUACACGAGUGGCGAACGGGUGAGUAACACGUGGGUGAUCUGCCCUGCUCUUCGGGAUAAGCCUGGGAAACUGGGUCUAAUGCCGGAUAGGACCCUGGGAUGCAUGUCCUGGGGUGGAAAGCUUUUGCGGUGUGGGAUGGGCCCGCGGCCUAUCAGCUUGUUGGUGGGGUGAUGGCCUACCAAGGCGACGACGGGUAGCCGGCCUGAGAGGGUGACCGGCCACACUGGGACUGAGAUACGGCCCAGACUCCUACGGGAGGCAGCAGUGGGGAAUAUUGCACAAUGGGCGCAAGCCUGAUGCAGCGACGCCGCGUGAGGGAUGACGGCCUUCGGGUUGUAAACCUCUUUCAGCACAGACGAAGCGCAAGUGACGGUAGGUGCAGAAGAAGGACCGGCCAACUACGUGCCAGCCGCCGCCGUAA
rnacentral:rRNA from 1 species